rnacentral:lncRNA from 1 species
GUACGUUUUGCAGAGGAAAUUUAUUUAUUUCACUUUCCAUUUAGAAGUGCAAAUGAUAUUUCGUUAGCAUUUAGAAUAAAGCGGUCUGAAAUGUCCUGCUGUCACAGCACAAAAUCAAGAGCACCUCUUCAUCUUCCCUCGGGCCAACAAAAGGGGACAGGAUUUUCAGUGAAACCCAGAUGUUGCUUCUCUUCCAAAGAAACUAACCUAUGCUUUUGAAGAAAAGAUGACUACCUGGUUGAAGAAAAGGAGUAAUGGAGAACACAUUCUUCAAGAUAUUGGAUAGUAUUCACUGCACCAUCAGGAGAUAUCUUUGUUUGGUACAAAGUGCUAAAGCCUUAAAAGACUAAAGCCGAACAAUAAUGAAUAGAACUGAUUUCCCAUCUUUGGAUUCUAGAGUGCUGACAUGGGAGUUUGAAGACGGUGGAAGGAAUCUAUGGACUGUAUUUACUGAUGUAAUUCAAUAAUUAAAGAUAAUUGUACAAUUUCUCUUAAGCUUGUUGAAAUUCAAGUUUUCUUUUGCUUUAGGCACGACCCAAAAAAUGUAAUAAUAUUUACCAUACUACCUAAUUUAUGUAUGUCUUUAAAUAGUUUACAAAGUGAAUUGAUAAUACAAAAAGUACCCAAAAUCAGAGAGAGAAUUUGUACAGAUUUAUACAAAUCCACGAACUUGAAAAGCCUGCCUUUGUCUCAGAACUUCUAUCUUUGUUUCAAAGAGAGAAACUGGUACAUUACGUAGAUAGGAGAAAAGGAACUGAAGGGUAUAGAUAAAGGAGAAAUGAGCUUAAAGCCUAAGGAAGAGGAAAAAAAUAUAUAAUACAAUCGGAGUGAUCAGAGAUAAAGAACAAGAAAAAAUCAUCAAGAGAUUUUUCUUGAAAGAGGAGGUAGAAUGGAGAUGUAUUUUGUAGGCUACUCUGUUGGAUUAAAGAAGGCCUGAAAUGAAAAGGUAUGUGCAACAAAGGCGUGAGGCAGAUGGAAGGCUUCUCUUCUUAUUUCCUAAGGCUGAGGGCUUCCAGUCCUUUUUGCAUUUGGCUAAUUGCAAAGUCUGCAAUCUCAAAGGGUCACAAUCAUUUUCAGCUUUUGCUGGUGAGAGACACAAAGCAGACAACACUGCACGUUGCUCCUGCUAUAAUAAGAUGUCAUUUCAUCAGGAGGAGUAGACAAAAGGAUAGAUUUUCCUCUUUCCUCUUUUCCUCUGUUUUGCUUUGGGAUAUAACAUUCAGUUUCUCUCUCCAGUUUCCUACAACAUCACAAGGCCAGUUUUUGCUUUGAACUUCAGUAAUAUCAAGUACCUUCCAUGUAAAUGGUGCUUGAGAUAUAAGCGUAUUGCAUGGCCUCUGAGAAACCAAGACCACAUGGAAACUGUUCCCCCCCAAUUUCUGCCAAUAACAUCAGAUUUUGCAUUGCUUCCCCAACAAGAACUGCCCUGUAUCAGAGGCUAGCUUUGUGCAGGGGCUGAUGGUUCUGUAUAGUUUGUGUUUGUGAGCCAUCAAAGGCUUUGAGUGGGAGAGAGGAAACGAUGAAGGAAACCUGGAAUCUGUGCCCAUACUGUUGCAACCUUUCUGAGUUUACUUUAAGAAUCUUUAUCCAGCUCUUCAUCUUUUCACUUUGAUCACUGUAACAUCUCUUCACCUUGGUUUCUAGCUUUUUCCUUUCCCCACACCAUCAAUCUGCACAGAUGCUGCUUUUUCCAGUCAGAGCCUCUUUUGGCAUUUUUGCACUUUACCUCCAUCUUAUUUCUGAACUUCUGUUUCUCUUGUUGUCCCUCGGUGACUGUGUUUUUGCAUGCUGUAGAGAUACUCAAUGCUUUUUUUUUCUGUGCCAUGUCCUCAUUCUAUUCUAUGACCUCUUUUGUGCUGCCUGUACUCCAGGAGUGCUGAGACAAACAGGCUGGGACAGAACACAUCUCUGUGCUCUUCCUGGGAGCACAUUUUAUUCCAGAAAAUUUGUUCUGCUGGUCUCACCUAUAUUUCUUCAAUUGUUUAAUAUUAAGCACUUAUCCAGCAGCGUGAAUUACAAUUAUCAUGAAUUAUACAACAUGGCAGUUUCUGCCCUGCUUUGCUCUCAUUUACAUAACUGCUAGACUGUAAUCACAUUUUGUCUUCCAGACAGAAAUCUUCCAGACUUCUCCCAGGUUUAAUUGGAGGUGCUUUGUAAACCUUUGAUGGUUAAGGACACCAGAUUUUGGAGUGAAAUGCUGGUGUAUGUAUACCAUUUUCAGUUUUAUAAGAUUUAGACCUGACUUCAUGGCCACUCAUUGCAUCUUCCUGUUGGUGAGGGUUAUGGAUAAGGUGUGGGUAGUUAAAGAAGAGCAAAUGAAGCAUGCUAGUUCAUAGAGUUGGGGGAAGAAGCUGGUGCAAUUGUGAUUUUUCUUUUUGCAAGCAUCGUAGAGGCUGGCUUUCAGAUAAUGUAGAUGUGUGAGGAUGUGUUUUGUCUCAGGAAUCAAGCUGGAGUCCAAGUCUGACAUUCAUUACUGUGCUGUGCAUUACCACAACUCUAGAAAAUAUUCUUCCAGCAAUUUAAAUUUAAUAUUUCACAGUCACUUUCAAACAUCAUCAGGCUGGGUCAGUACUUUCCUUUUUGUCUUUAAGUUGUAAAAAUUUUAUCUUCUCUACCUAAUAAAACACAUGCUGCACUCAAAAAUCUCUCAUUCCUUCUUGCAAAGGUGACAUAGCGAAGCUGUACAUAUACCACUCUUGGUAUCAAAUGUAAUUAUUGAUGUAAGGAACGUAUCAGCCCUGGCCUGUGUGAUGCUGCUAUUUCAUCUGCAGGCAUCCUUCUCCAAGCCAUAUAAACACACUGCUCCAGUGUUGUGCUUUCUUCAGCCCUUAGUUGACUGUAUAACAUUUUUGAAUGAGUUGUGUUUUGUACAUAGCCCGUGAAAUCAGUUUGUGCAGCAAUUGGUUGCUUUCCAGAAGAGUGCUGUAUGAGUGUAAGUCAUUAAUGUCGUCAUUAUCCAAGGAAAAGGAUGAAAAUAUGCAGAUAUAUUUCUUAGUGUAGAUGUAAUUAUAGCAUUUUGCAAGACUAUUUAAAUAGUACUUAUUUGGCAUAGUGGUUGCUAUUUAGUUUUAAGCAAGAUGAAAGGUAGAUCAUUUUUGCUUAUUUUUGUUCCAUUUUAAUGCAGUGCUAUUAAACUAAGCAAAUUUCAGAUUGGAGAGAGGGAAGUAAUAGGAUGAUUUGAAAAACAGCAAUGAAAGAGAAUGAAAAAUGAAAAUAAUUGUUGUUUUUUAGAGAUAAAAUUAACGUCGCAAACAGCAGUAAAACCAUAACUGCCUCUAACUUUUUCAUCUGCUUCUAUCUUUUUCAUCUUGAGAUCCCAGAAGCUUGAAAGCACAAAAGAAACAGCUUGUGGAAAAUCUGUGAAGUCCAUCUAUUUCUACAAUAGGAUUAUUCAUCACCACAUGUUUUCCCCAUCUGGAAGUAAAGGGACAAAAUGCUGAAACCACCACCGUCUCACUUGCAAAUUGCUCCACAGUCUAACCAGUCAUGCUAUUGAGAAGAUAUGCCUGCAGUUCAACCCAAAUUGUCUGUAAUCAUGUUGCUUCCUUUCCCUUGUUAUCCUGAGUAGUUCCUCCCCACCCAUAUGUUUAACCUCUCUGAAAUAUUUGUGGAUGGCAAUCAGAUCCCUCUGAGUCACUGCUUAGCUAAGCUGUAUGCAUUUUCAGCAUCCUUCUUUUCUUGUGUAAAUCUUCUCAGAUAUUUAACCAUUUUUCUCCACUUUCCUGUGAAAUCCUCAGCAUUCACUGAAGACGUUAGAAUGAUUACCCCUGGCUGAACAUGGGAACGGAACAUGAGCCUUACACAGAUGGUCCCCUUAGUGGCCUGGGUUCAAGUGCAGUGGGUUGAGGUGCUCAAACACUCCUUUACCACGCUUGGAACUCCUGCUCUAUAAAUCAGGGCUAUACAGUCUGGGGAGUACUGGAACUGUACAGUUGGGGGAAAGUCCCAGCUUUGCUCCACCUGGACUGUGACCACAAUGGAAAAUUUUCUGGUUAAAGUCAAUUAUUUUGCUGCCGAAAGGUAAGGCUUCUACAGCGGCCUGUGUGUGGCUGGGGCUAUGCUACGAACAGUUCUUAGCUACAAAGAGAGGUAAAGUUCUCACUCUGUACAGCCAUGUCCACACUCUUACUAGCUGCAGCAUAGUCCAACUUAAUCACAUGGAGCAGUGCAAACAGUGUGAAGGAAUACCAUCUUCCAGAUUUCAGAGGUAAAACCAAUGCUUAGAUUAUUGGAUUGACCAAGCAUGAUAAUUAGACACACGGAGUUUUCUAAUUUUCCACUUAUUUACCACUGCAAUUUGGAAAAACAGUUGGGAAAUGUGAAACAUUCCAUGGGAUGGGAUGUUUGUAGUAUCUUUCCUCAGAAGAACGUGUGUAACAUGGUGUGUUUUAAUAAAUACUGCAGUCAGGGAACUGACUCUUGGCCAAAGCAGGAGCCUGGGAAGACAGAAAUAUUUGCAGCUGGUCAGUGCUUUCCACCUCUCCCUUCCCACUGAGGCCAGCGACCAAAAAGCCAUCCAUCCUGAGUGCUAAGGCGUGCUGGCCUCCCUGCCUACUUUCUAUCAACAGUUUUGACAGGUCCUCACUGAUUGUUGUUAUGAAAUCAAAUCUAUAUUUACAGCCAGAAAAUGCCUGUCAAAAUAUAUCUUUAACAACCUGAAAUUUAAUUCUUCAGCCGUCUCUAUAGUAGGCAUGUCCAUUACAGGAAAUCUUUCCUUCCUCUUUCCAUUAAAAUAUUUUCAAUUUGGCAUGCCAAAAAAGCUGUAUCUCAAAGAGGAAAAAAAAAAUAGUCUUUAGUAGAGCAAGAAGAUUUACAAAAUCAUUUAUUACCUUUGGUUUCCAAACUAAUCUUAGAAUGAGAGAGAGUAGUGCUAAAAUGCCUAAGCAAAGUGGGGAGAUCAUAGGACCACAUAACCUACUCAGGCUUAAAUAAUAGUAGCAGUAAUAAUAGUAGUAAUAAUAAUAGUAGCAAUAAUAAUAAUAGUAAUAAUAAUAAUAAUGGUAAUAAAAUAGAUGAGCUAAGUGAUUUGAUAUCUGAGCUUAUUAUGUGACAAGUGAUUGAAACUACAUAAGAGGAAAAGGACUGUAUGAAAAAUUAAAACUGGCAACACUGGUAAGACUGUGUGUCAGGAGAAGUAAUUGCAGGAAACUUCUGCAGUGCACAUUAAGACCACCCAGCUCCUCUGUGCUGGCAAGGUAGCAGAAUCUGAUAAGCUACUUGAAGAACACAUUACUGAAAAUCAGCAUGUCUAUUUAAUUGGCCUACAUUUCAUAGAGUUCAUAGCUCUCAUAAGAAGAGCUAAUGUCUCUCGUGUUUCUGCUUUGUUUAUAUCAGGAACUGCAGCCAAGUUCUUGCUUCUAGCUUUGCUUAGAGUUUCUCAUGGAUCUGGGGAGAGUGUCCUGCCAGUGACAGAUUGAGACUGAGUGUAAUUGGGGAUGCAGGAAGGUGAGGGAAAGAGGGCAAUAUCCCAGGGUCAUGGGAUCAAUGCUUGUAAAUGGGAAGAGGGGAAGUCAUAGAAUCAUUGAAUCAUAGAAUCGCUAAGGUUGGAAAAGACCCACAGGAUCAUCCAGUCCAACCAUUCACCCAUCACCAAUGGUUCUCGCUAAACCAUGUCCCUCAACACAACAUCCAAACGCUCUUUGAAUACCACCAGGCUCGGUGACUCCACCACCUCUCUGGGCAGCCCAUUCCAGUGCCUGACCACCCUUUCAGAGAAGUAGUAUUUCCUAACGUCCAGCCUGAACCUUCCCUGGCGCAGCUUGAAGCCAUUCCCUCUAGUGCUACCACUAGUCACCCGAGAGAAGAGGCUGACCCCCAGCUCACCACAACCUCCCUUCAGCUCUGUUGCUGUGUUUUGCACAUGUUCAACAAACUCAGCUUCCUUCUUGCGGUGAGGAGUACUCAAGAUGUGGUCUUAUCAGUGUCAAGCAUUGAGGGACAAGCAGAACAAUUCAAAGGCUAUGACUAUCCUUGAGACCUUGUAGCACCUGCACCUACAGAAACUGUCCACAGAGGCCUUACCGGACCAUGUUUUAUUGUCAUUGUUUCUGGGCAAAGGUUUUAUAAUGCAGCAGUGGAGUCCAUCUUGCUGAAGCAAUGGAGACAGAUAGUGAUGGAGCUGCCAGAACAACCUGUAAAUUAUCUGCCCUAAAAUCCUCAAAGAGCACUUUGUGCUGAAAAGAAGGCUGUUCAAGGCAGGAGGGGAAGAAUUUGAUCUUGCCUACAUUUGUUGUACAGGAACAGAAAGGAGGAGUGCUUUAUUCAUCAAGUGAACACAGCACUUUAAAAAUUCAACUAAGUCAAUAUAGGAAUACGUUUAAAAUGUAUUCACCUUCAGAGAGAGAUUUCCUGGACUGACAGAACUGCCAAUGGGUAUGAGUUAUUGCUUAGCAAAAGUUGCUGCAAAGGAUGCUGUACCCAUCACCUCUGUGAAGGGGUCUUAUGUGGAACAAGCUGCUAAGAAAGUUAUGGCCAACAGAAGUUCUGCCUUUGACUGGUGCUUUGGUAACUACCUGUGGGGAUAGUCUGCUGUUAUUCUAUUUUUCUUCCUUCUUUGUCAGAGAAAAUGGCAGUCUGGUGACAGUGUUCUUGAGAAUAGCAACUUCAUUCUACCAGGUUCUGCUGGUAGAGUAGAAGUGGAAAGUCCUGCCUGAGAAUGUGCAUUGUAGAAUCACUGCUCCCAAAGCUGGCAGCUCUGCCAAAACCCAGAACAUGAGUGCUUUGGGGAUGCCCUGGUAGAAACUUAGGUCAGUGCUGGCCUUGGGCCAUCCAGAGUAAGAUGUGAACUGCCUGGACUACGGCAUUACUGGGCAGAAAGAGUGUCUGAUCCCUUCAUGAUUUCAACUUCAGAUUUGCACACCUUAUAUUUACCUCUGAGUACUUUGUAGCACAGUUUGAUAUUUAUGCUUUGACUUUAAUUCAGAAAGAAUCUGGAGAGGAAUAAGAGAGAGGCUAAAAAUGUGCAAGACAAAAAAUACAUGUGUGAUUUCUGAAAUCUGACAGUGUUUAGGAGGGGAAAUAGAAGCUACACUGUUGAUUAUUUUACUUUAUUCUCCCAAUUGAAUGUGAUUUUUUUUGUUUUGUUAUUUUUUAUUUUUCUUUCUAUGCUAUGUAUGGAUGAUACCAGGCCAGUUCCUACCCAAAGGCUUGCUUAAGUGCUUUCAAUCUUACUUGCUUACCUUGCAUCUACAGUAACAAGGAUUCAGUUGUGAGUAAGCCUCAGCAUGUUACUUUAGUUCAAAUGAUUUCUAACUGGAAUAUCAGUGAAUCUUUACCUUCAGGUCAUCCGUGCUCUUUUGUAAGAAUGAAUUUCAGUAGCUUAAAAAUGCUCAGAGUUUGUGAAUGACAAUGAUAACUCACUGCUAUGAAACUUCCUGUAAGUGUGCACCCAUCUCCCUAAAUAAGUAGAAAUGGGUUUCAAAUAACAGGCUCUUCUGUUUAUAAGAGUGGUAAUUAGAAGUGCAUUAAGGAAACCCUCAUUUCAGAAGCAGGCGUAUUAUAUCUAUGAAGUUUCCUGCUUUUUUCCUUUUCUAUAUAUGUUUGAGGCUCCUGAUUGUCUAAUGAGAUUAGGGUAAAUUUGAAAUUAAUUGUAUCUUGUAUAUGUUUUUGAAAUAACAGGCAUAAAGCUACAUUAACUUGUUUCCAUUUGUGAAAGCAGCCUGUUUUCCUUGGUACGUAAGUAACUUCAUGGUUACUAAAGUCUUACUUAUACCCUUUGAAUUGUAUGAGCAAACCUUUCUCUAUUUUAUGUGUUCAUGAAGAUAUUGAAGAAAUAUCAGCAGCUUUGUAUGCAAGUAGAUGAGUGAAGUUGGCAUUUAAACUCUUGAAAAUUACAUAACAGCUACUAGUGUUAAGAAAUUAUAGAUAUGAUGAAGGAAGAGCUGUGAAUUUACAUUUAGAAAUUAACCCAGCUGGGUUUUGUGUGUGAGUGAAAGGUGAAGGAGAGAUAUUUUUAAAAGCUAUUAUUGUGCAUCAGCAAGGUGUGUGUCAUUAACUAAUUAUUUUGAGAAUGCCUUACUAAGACAGUGGUGGUAAUUAGUCUUUAGAUUUGUAGAAGGAAUGUGAUAUUCCUUUUAAUUGGGAAAGUUUUCCUGCCUCUGGGCACGCGCCCUGAAGUGGAGAGGGGGGGAGAGUAGAGGAGAAGGGAAAGUAGGAGGGGAGUGGAGGGAAGAGGUGAGGAAGGAAGGAGACUCAGUGGACUUUAAGAAUUGUCCAUCCUUUUCCAAAAUAGUCAGCAGUGCUACUGAAAAGCCUUCCUUCUGAAUGAUAUUAUCCUAUCCUAACAUUACUUUGAAGUUUUCUACCCCUAGAUGAAUUCUACAUUCAUUAAUGUCAGCAAGCCUUUUUUUUUUUCUGGACUAUUGAGGCCAUCUUUCCUGCAAAUGACCUUAACAGCUGCAAAGAGAAAAGAUAUGAUAACAUUACAUUAAAACACACACUAUGGUAGUUCUCUGAAAAUUUGGAGAUUUUGUUAGGUUUCUGGCUGAGUUUAUGAAUUUACUGUAUGCAAAGCUGCAAUGGAUUUUUCAGUUCCCUCCACUAGUUCCCCCAAGCCUCAGGUUAUGAGAGAAGAGCCAAAAAUGCAGGGCAAUGUUAAUUAUAGGAUAGCCAGAGGCAUUAUGUUCCCUCUUCCAAGCUGUUCUCAACAGUGACUUAUUGCCUCACUUCAGAGAACAAAUUAAGAUGCUCUGCAAUGAUGGAUCCCAAAAACUUGUUUGUCCUGAGAACCAAGGAAGAGAAAAAGGUGUGGCAAUCAGUGAAUGCACCAGAACACGUGAAGCUAGGGGGAUGUGAAAAUAUAAUGCUGAAAUACCCAGUCUAUCUUUCCUUCUCUGCCCUAACCUACAGGAGAAAUAAAAUCAGUUAUAUGUUUUGACUUUCUGUGAAAUAGAGGGAGCAUUAGACCUUCUGCAUUCAAGGGGGGAACCAUGGACAUAAGAAUAGCUGUUUAUCUUCAUUUGUGGUCUUGGAGAUGAAUAAGGAAUGAGUGACGAUGUGUAUUCACUACUGAGUACAUAACACAACUGUUCGAGAGAAGAUGCAGGUUUCCAAAAUCUACCAGCUGCCAUGCACUGGGCUAGUUUGGCAACGUCCAUCUUACCACUCGUGAAAGUAGGCCUUCGCAUAUUUGUGUAAUUCAGCAAAGGAUGUGGUCAAAUUAUUGCCUUUGUCUCUUUUUAUUCUGAAUUACCUCAAGAACUAAGGUCAAAUAAGGAAAAACUAUCCCACAGCAAAAGAGAGAAGAAGCAAAGACAUGCUGGUUAGCUUCUCACUGUCUGCUAAACUGCAUGAAGUCUACUUGAAAUCUCUGAUCUACACUAACAUACCAACUUAAAAAAAAUCCACAAAUGCUAUACCCUGCAACUAGAUAAGUAGGCAGCUGGGUUAAACUUGUAGAUAGUGAGUCAGGCUCCUCAGAUUCUGGGGAAGACUGAAGAUGAGAGGAAGCAGAGUAACUGCUGGCCCUUUGGUAUGGAACACAGGCAAAGUCAGGGGACAACAAUGGCAAAAGUUCCCUGGUCUAUGGGGUAUUUGGGACGUGAAUCCCCUUCCUGAGGGUGAAAGUGGUGCCUGAAAGAGUCAUGUACAGAGGUCAGUGCGUUAGGCUGGUGAGUGUCCAGGAGGAAACACUCCUGGAGGACAGCAAUACAAUAAGUUUAAGAAAAAAAAAAGGCCAGAACAUAAAUUCUUGCCACCCUUUAAAAUUUAACAAUAUUAAGCAUAAUCAUUUGGCAGUUCACUUAAUCUCAGUGGCAAAAAUAACUGGUUAUACGUUAUUAUUGAAGAUUAAAAUCUUAAAUCUUCCAUCAAGGCGGGGAGGGAGCAGGAGGUGCUAGAUAUGACUUUUGUCAUAUCAGGACCCUAAUGAAUUCUGCAAAAAAAGAAUUCUUAUGAAAUAUCCUUUCCAUUCAGCUAUUAUCUUUGGCUGUAGCAAUUACUCAUUUGCUCUAAACUGAAAUCCAACAACAUGAAGCACAGCUAUUCUCUUUCAAACUAAAAUCAGUAUUGGCAGGAUGACUGAAACUAUUUGCUUCCAUUAAAGGCAAAAUAUGUCCUAAGUGGUCACAAGUGUGCCAUAUUCCUCAGCUGUCAGUGCCUAAUUUGAAAUAUUUAAUUUAAAACAUUUUUAAAGCAGGCUGGUUGUCUCUGUUGCUCUGAGCUUACAUCUCCUACAUUCUAUUUCCAAUACCUGCCCCCAGAUCCAUUGGCUGCUUCUGAUGUGCUAAUGCAUUUAGAAAUGUGACUUUCCUCAUCUAUGCUAGACAAAAAGUCUAAUGCAAGAUCAUGUUGGUGAGUUCAUUCUAGAACACCAUCUUCUCUGGCCUUUUGUUAUGGGAGAAGCAACAGGAAGGAAACUGAGCUCCAACUACUGCUCCAGUAUGGUCAGCAAGAUGCACAGGAGGGAAAUUCUGUACCCAGCUUGUGGAAGGUAUGGCAUGCCUCUUUCAGAUCCUCCUCAGAAGGGCAUCUACAUCACAGUAGUGCGGCCAAAGAUGUGGUGGAGAAGCCAUGAGAGAGGAGUCCCAGAGAGAACCUCAUAAUCCAUAGAAUCAUAGAAUCAUUAACAUUGGAAAAGACCUCUACAGUAAUCUAGUCCAACCACCAAUCUGUCCCCACCAUGCCCACUAACCACCUCCCUAAGUGCCACAUCUACACCUUUUAUUAACACCUCCAGGGACUCCACCACUUCCCCAGGCAGCCUGUUCCAAUGCAUUAACACUCUUUUGGAGAAUAAUUUUUUCCUAAUAUUGAACCUGAACUUCCCCUGGCACAACUUAAAGCCAUUACUUCUUGUCCUAUCACUAACUACAUGGGAGAAGAGGCCAACCCCCAUCUUGCCACAGACUCCUUUCAGGCAGUUGUAGAGGGCAAUAAGGUCUCCCCUGAGCCUCCUCUUCUCCAGACCAAACAAUUCCAUUUCCCUCAGCUCACCCCAAGACCUGUGCUUCAGAUCCUGGAUUAAUCUUCUGUGCACUUGAAUAAAAAUGUAGUUUCUACUGAAAGACAAAACUUUUCAUGCAAAGAGAGGACAAUUCUGUUUAAAAACAACAGUAAGUACAUCAGAGACAUUGUAUUCAUCCUACAUUCUGAAAAAAAAAAUGCCAAUAAUAAAGCUCUAUCUAGAGAACUGUGGAAGGAAAAAAUUUUUUGAUAUCUUUUUUUUCUAAACAAUUAAAGCUGAAGCAUUCAGCAUUUUGGAUCCAGUGUAAAUCCUCACAUUCCUGGGCAAUAUAUAUACAUAUUUUCUGUCAGCAAAUCCUUAGUUUCCACAUUAGUUAAUGUUCCACCUGCUGUAUAAACCCAGAGAAGCUGUCUCUUGCAACUGUAGUGUUCCCUUCUGGCAGUCCUUUUUUCUUCCUUUUUCUUCUGUCAAAUAUGCAGAAAAUACCUUUGAAAAUGUACACAGUGUUCACAAUAAAUGGAAAUAACACAGAUGCACGCGUGUACAUUUAUGGAAGUGUAAUAAUUCUGAGAACAGUACAGAGAGCUCAGUUAACAGACUACAGUAAACGAUGCCAGGUUACCUAAACCUCAUAGUCCCAAAAGGAAGGAUUUUAGACAGCUUGCUGAUGUUCACAGUGUCAUGACGUAUGUCAGCACCAAGCCCACGUAACGGGUUUAAAUGAUCUAUUGACCUCCAACGGAUAUUAU